rnacentral:rRNA from 1 species
AGAGUUUGAUCCUGGCUCAGAUUGAACGCUGGCGGCAUGCCUAACACAUGCAAGUCGAACGGUAACAGGUCUAAUAUAUCCUUCGGGGUGUUGUGACGCUGACGAGUGGCGGACGGGUGAGUAAUGCUUGGGAAUCUGCCCAGUAGUGGGGGACAACACGAGGAAACUCGUGCUAAUACCGCAUACGUCCUACGGGAGAAAGUGGAGGAUCUUCGGACUUCACGCUACUGGAUGAGCCCAAGUCGGAUUAGCUUGUUGGUGGGGUAAUGGCCUACCAAGGCGACGACCCGUAGCUGGUCUGAGAGGACGAUCAGCCACACUGGGACUGAGACACGGCCCAGACUCCUACGGGAGGCAGCAGUGGGGAAUAUUGGACAAUGGGGGCAACCCUGAUCCAGCAAUGCCGCGUGUGUGAAGAAGGCCUGCGGGUUGUAAAGCACUUUCAGUAGAGAAGAAAAGCUAUCGGUUAAUACCCGAGAGUCUUGACGUAACCUACAGAAGAAGCACCGGCUAACUCCAUGCCAGCAGCCGCGGUAAUACGGAGGGUGCGAGCGUUAAUCGGAAUUACUGGGCGUAAAGCGCGCGUAGGCGGCUAGGUCAGUCGAUUGUGAAAGCCCUGGGCUUAACCUGGGAAUUGCAGUCGAUACUGCUUGGCUAGAGUAUGGGAGAGGGAAGUGGAAUUUCCGGUGUAGCGGUGAAAUGCGUAGAUAUCGGAAGGAACACCAGUGGCGAAGGCGACUUCCUGGCCCAAUACUGACGCUGAGGUGCGAAAGCGUGGGUAGCGAACAGGAUUAGAUACCCUGGUAGUCCACGCCGUAAACGAUGAGAACUAGAUGUCGGGGGGAUUUACCCCUCGGUGUCGCAGCUAACGCGUUUAAGUUCU